ensembl:snRNA U2 U2 spliceosomal RNA
CCCACUUCUCGGCCUUUUGGCUAAGAUCAAAUGUAGUAUUUGUUCUUAAGGGAGAGAGGUCCUAGACACUCCUGAUGGGGCAGAUUAGGAAGCUUGAUCCUCU